rnacentral:lncRNA from 1 species
AUGGCACUCUUCAAACCUAUAACAUUAACAAGGAAUAAAAAUAAAAUAUGUGACAUCGACCAGAGUUUGAUUAAGUUCAAUAUUAUGACACAAGGAUAUGAAGAAGGAUGUGUUAUAAAGUCUAUAAGUAUAUGUAAGGAAUAUGUCGCUUUAAGUAAAAACGCAUUGGUAAUAGUAGCUUGUGUAAAAAGCGGUAUGAAAAGAAAACAACAGUGCAAGGAGAAUGUGAGUAAAUUAAAAUUCCGAGAUAGUAAUAUGUUAGGAAUUGGUAUGGAAAAUGGUGAUAUCGAUUUAUUAGGUGUUGGCCUUUUUGAUAUUAUAAAAAAAUUAAAAGGUCAUAAAUCAUCUAUUACAGAUUUAGUCUUUGACACAGAUUUUAGUAAAUUAUAUUCGUGUUCAAGAGAUUUCACCAUAAAAAUAUGGAAUAUAUGGGAAGGUUUAUGUAAAAACACGUUGGAUUAUCAUGUUGAUAAUGUAACAAGUAUUUGUUUAUUUAAUAAUAAUAAUAAUAAUAAUUAUUUAAUAAGUUCUGGUUAUGAUGGUUAUAUUUAUUUUUAUGACAACAAGUUAGAAAAACAAACAAAAAAAUUAGAAAUGGACGAACCUAUAGAAUGUUUCACAAUUUUUAAUAAUACCUACAUAGUUCUCGCAAUAAAAAACCGAAUUAAAAUAUAUACAGUAAAUAAUUUAGAACAUAUAAAAGACAUUUAUGUUUGUACUAAAACUAUUUUUUAUUUAAAUAGUUUUCAAGAUUAUCUUGUUGCAGGUUGUCUAGACAACACUAUUUAUGUUAUAAAUAUGUUUGUUACAAAACCGAAGGAAAUAAAUGUUUUAUCCACAAUUAAAUAUUGCAAAUUAUUAUCAUGCGUUGACGUAUAUGGCAAUAUUUUAUCCUUAGGAGGAGGAAACGGAAAUUGGUUUAUUUGUUUACAAGAUGAGAAAACAAAUAUAAAUUCCAAAAAAAAAGAUGAAAGUUUUUUCAACUGUUAUAAGGAUACAAAAUUUUCUUACCAAAGCCAUAAUAUAUCUAGUUUAGUUAAAAAAUUUAAAUUAAAUGAAGCUUUGAUGUCAUUAAUUAAGCAAGACCCUCGCGCUACAGUUUCCUUACUAGAAUAUUACUCCAAAAACCGUAUGUUACGUAUAGCAUGUAAAACACAUUCCAUAGAAGAUGUAGUGCGCGUCAUUCAAUAUAUAAGAAAAUAUUUUACAACAGAUGCUAUAAUAUCAGAGUUUUUCACAGAAUAUUUAGAUGUUAACCAAUGGAUAAACUCUACAACGAAUGAGAAGUUGUCAUAUGAAUUGUCACUGUUGCUUCGGGUUAUUCAAAACGAGAUGAACGUUAUUAACAAAUUUAAGGAAUUAAAAACUUUUACCGACGAUUUAUUUAAUAAUAGUCUAUAGUAUAACUUUGGAAUGCUUUAGUAUAUUAAUAUAUAUAUAUAUAUAUAUAUAUAUUAAUAUAUACGUUUUUUUGUGUUUGUGAACCGAAUUUUGUUUUUAUUAUUUGAUACCCUAGUUGUAUUUUUCAAUUAGUAUAAUUUACCAUUUUAAUUUAUCCGUCAAUGGAUUUUUUUUUUUUUUUUUUCUCUUUACUGAAUACUUGAAAUUAAUUUUUUAAAGGAUGUUUCUUAUUUCAAUUAUUUGAUUUGUUUGUGUUUAUAAAUCACUAAAAUUUGUAGAAUCUACUUAUUAAAUUCUAUUUAAUUUUUACAAAAACAAAAAAACAAGUAACAUAAAAAACGUUUUAAAUAAUAUUAUAUUAUACAUACAAGUAUAGGUGGUAUACCUUUAUUUUACUUCCGAAACGCACACACAUAUAUAUAUAUAUAUAUAUAUAUAUAUAUGUGUGUGUUCAUGUCAAAAAUAAUAUUUUAUUAUUCACUCCCAUCAUAAAAGUGAUACUUGUUUUAAAAAAAAAAAAAAAAAAUUUUUAUUUAUUUAAAAAAAAAACAAAUAAACAUGUAUGUUUGAAUUUGGAGAAAAAAAAA